rnacentral:lncRNA from 1 species
CGAGAUCUGGGCUUAACAGUUUCCUAUCACCCACUUCUUCCCAACAUAUCGACGACCUACAUGGGCAGCCGUACAACGCCUCAUACGGUGCCAUAUCAAUACUUGCUUGGUGACUGUUGUUGUAGGCAAACUCUAUCAGGGAUAGAUUGUCAUUCCAAUGGCCCCCGAAGUCAAGAACACAAGCUCAGAGCAUAUCCUCAAGUGUGCGGAUCGUUCU